rnacentral:misc_RNA from 1 species
GUGAAUCAUCGAAUUUUUGAACGCAAAUUGCGCUUCCUGGCAUCCCGGGAAGUAUGCCUGUUUGAGGGUCAGUAUAAAUAAAAAAUCGGUUUAGUUACAAAUUGUGUCGUUUCCGGGGUUUGGGCUAUCUUAACCUUUUUGGUUAAUUGGCUUAAAAUGGACCUUUUUUGCGCAUUUUUACACGUACAUAGAUUUUUUUUAUUCAACUAUUCUUAUUGCCAAACUCUUAUUAACGUCAACUCUU